ACUCUGGAUUGGCAGCCAGGGCCAUGAGCUCGUUUUGUCAACAACCCUCCCCCUCUUUUUGCUCUUUCCUGGCUGUGUGGUGGACUCUUCAGGGACACAGCAGUCACUGCGCUGCAGGGACAGUCCCCAAGUGCCAAGGCACAGCCUAAAGGGGCCUGUUCCCACCAUGGCAUCCGUGACAAGAACCAGGAGCCAGAAUGCAGGUUUCUGGGACUUGUCAGCUCCCUUCUGAGUGCCCUGUUGAGGAUUCCUAGAAGUCCAGACACCUCACCCCCCUAACCUGGAUGGACCACGCAGAGCCAAUAGGAAUACUUUUCUGUGGACGUGCCAUGUUGGAAUCCCAGAUCUCCCUGCCCUGCCAGCCCCUGCCAGCUUCCUGGGGACCCAACUGACCCUGAAGAAAGCCUCUGAUGGGCCUAGAACAGAGAAGGUGACCCAGGACCUUGCCCAGCCUUUCUGGACAACUGGAAGACAGUUACGCUUCGUCCUCCACCUCUCCCUCCAACGUUGGUCCGGCUCCCGACUCCCGCCUGGCAGCCCCAAGACCUG
rnacentral:lncRNA from 1 species